rnacentral:lncRNA from 1 species
CACACACAUUCCCAGCCAUCGUGAACAUCACAGUUGGACUAAAUGAUCUCAGAGCUCUUUUCCAACCUUAAUGAUUCUCUCUGACUGUGACUUCUCACUCCCACCCUCAGCUCGGUGGGAUGCAGAAAUGCAGCAUUCCUUUCUCCAGAUCCCCGCAGCAGCUCAGCCUGGUAGGCACGAACUAAGAGCGCCCCAGACGCGGUGGCUGUGCCCACAGAGAUUAGGCUGCUUCCCAGCUCCCACCGGGACUUCAUAGGCACUUGCCUCCAUGCAUGGUUUGCUGGAACUUAAGCCUGGUGCCUGGCAUCUCACCCUCAGCACUUGGGAUCAAAGUCCUGGCACAUCCCAGGCUUUCAUGUGGAUGUGAAAAAUAGCCCGGACUCGAAUCACGAGAAUCAUUUCCUGAAGCCAAAUAUAUUUCAACAAACCAUCCCACCAAGCCCUGACAUAUCUUGUGCAAUCUUUUAGAUGACCCAAAUUGCCAACUUUAUUUCCAGAAAUCUUCUGCAUUUUCUCCAAUAGGAGAAGAAGACAUGACCAUCACAGCAGCAAGGCAAGGCAGGGAUGUGCGCCUGGAUGUGCAUCAGGCAGACACCUUCAUGGACGCAGGGAUUUACAGCGGCUGUAAGCGAUGUACCAAGGUUCACAAACUCAUCGGCACUCUCUGUCUGGGAAGAAGAAGGGAGUCAAGAUAUUCUAUAAGAGCAAGUACCACCAACGGUGCACUCAGGGCCAGUUGUGUGGCCGAGGCUGCUGUAUUCUAAGCCUGAGCUCUUGUCACUCACAAGCCUUUGCCCGAUGUAACAGCCAGCCUCAGCUUGCUUUCUGCAGUGUCUCUGGAAGGUCCCAAUCCCAGUAGUAACUGUGGUGCUUUCAAGACAACAUGUCAUCCACUUGUUUUGCCCAUAGCUGCCCAGGGCAUCUGGGUACCUCUAUCCCUCCUGGUGGGCAUCACCUCUGCUCUUCAGCAGCAUAAAGCAAGGGUAAGGUGAGCGUUGCAGCACCACGGGGGCUGUUGCUUCCCAUGGGCACUCAUCAGAAAUGUAAUGGUUCCGGACACCCCUACCCACCGGCCUCUCAACCCAUCUGUCCCCCAUAGUUUGCUGGCGGGUCACUCUUCAUCACCCUGUCUGGGAAAGGCUGGUUGGAGGUGGGAUGCAUCAUGCUUCAGAUCAUAAUUGAUCUUCAAAGAGCACAUUUAAUGCUGCUA